UGUGGAGGGGUGGUAACAGUCCUCACUGCAGAGCCUGGAUGUUUUGUGAUGUCUGACUAAUGCUGCUAGGAGAGGACAUAGGAAAGAAAAGAGUUAUCCAACUUACAGGAAGCAAAGAAGAUAUGAUUGCAAAGGGCUGGCACUGCUUAUGGUUUAAAGACAGACACAAUUUAGAUACCAGUGAGAUCCCAUUGCAGUCAUUCAUGUUUAUAUAGAAGAUGGAGCUUAAUGAGGUCUGUGUGGUCACAGAAAGAUAAAACACUGUGAGAUCAGAUGUGGCCCUGUGUUGUGUGUGAGAGCAAGACCUUUGAGCUUUCACGUGCUUCCUUACUUUACAAGUUCUGAACUCCUGAUGAAUGGCUUGUAACCUUUCAAGCAUCCCUUUGAAGUACCCACUGAAGCAGAGGGGAAGCAAGAGUGGUGUUUCAAACAUACUUACAAGCUGGCACUUGUUGAGAACACCAAACCCGAACUGCCUUUGGAAAAUUAAUCAACAGAAUUUUAUGAAGAGAAGGAAAACCAGAAAAAGUUGUCCAAAGUACUUUUAUGAAGAAUUAUAAAUCUCCAGAUUUCUCAGCCAUAGCAAAAUACAAUCAAGAAAGAAUUUUGUGCUCAGCUGCUGUUAAGCAUUCCAAGCUGCACAGUUAAAGCAGCACUCAAAAUUAACCUGUGGACACAUUGACAGUGAUAAGUGUAAUGAACUCUCAGCAGAAAACACGGCUAGGUACUUCAGAGCAGGUAAUACCCACGUGAAUGAUUACCUCUCGUAUGCGACUUGGUAGAGGACUUGUUUUGAGAAGUACAGUGCAGACCUCAGCAGCCGAGUUUAGCACUUGCCUGUAAAGCUUUUGAUCACGGUAUUCAGAUUUAAAUACAAAAGACUGAAUUGGUGUAAGAAAGAAAAUCUUUCAGAGUCCUUAAGGGGCUGCAACAGUUAGGCUCCUAACAUGGGUUAAGGACUGACUUCAGUCGUGGCUUGGGGUCUCUCGGUCUUGUGUGGUUUUAGUUAAAUCAUUAGUGCUGUAGAAAAGCUGCUAGUCCUUAUGUUGUUUUGAAGUAGGGUUUUUUUUCUAUUUUCUUUUUUCCCCCACUUGAUAUGUUAAUAAUAAAAAGAAAGUAAAGAGAAAGUUGGUCGAAGACGUUUUACAAUACGAUUGAAAACUUCCCUACAUUAUUCCUGCCUCCACUCCCCUGAUCUUCCCAGCUCUUGCACCUCCCUCCCUCCCGCUGCCCCCAGGUUAAAAGUACAAAUCAUGAAUUCCUCAGUAAGUCUUUUACAAGGAAUGUUGAAUUCUUUGAAGACUUUAAUCUGAAAUUAUCUGUCAAAGAUCUAGAAGAAUGGAAUCUAACUGAACUUUAACUACUUUAUCCUACUUAAGCCGGAACAGAACUGCUGAGCUGAGCAAUUUAAGAUUCCCACAGCUGCACUAGCUAUGUUUUUGUUCAUGGUACUAAAUUGUUUCCCUUAGCCUGAAAAGGGUUAUAAAACCUACAAUCAAUUUAGUUUCUGGGGCAUUGUGUUUUGAAUACCGUUUAAUAGGGUGUGACAAAAACACAUAAUUUCUCCACAUGUUCUUCCAUUGCAAGCAGAUUUUACUUGGUACUAGGCAGUGCACCAAAUGUUCUGGACAGCAGAGGAAGCAUUGGAAUUGGAAAUAGAAAAACGGUAUCAGACAGCUAGAAUGCCCAGGGCAUGACAAGAAUCUUAAGCACAAGAGAUGAGCACAAAGGAAUUUUUAUCAUCCAUUUGCUCAUCAACUCCACAUUUGCUACGGAUAGAAAUCAUUAGAUUUGUUUAACGUAGGGGAAAAGAAUAGAUUCAAAAACUGGAAACAUGAGUGAACCUAAUUGGACAGGAACAUAUUUAAUAUUAAUAUUAAUAAGCAGAGAUGGCUGAAUAUCAUGAACAGCUGUGGGCAGAAGGAGGAGGAGGAUUCUUGCUGCCUUCCAGUGAAUUGAAUCAGUCAGCCUGCUUCCUCAGCUUAAUACACCCUCAGUGUUUUAGUUACAUGAAUAACCACGUUUAUUUUAAUAACGCUUCUUGGCAGGGAGGAUAAGUUGAUUUACUUACCUUUACUAGUACUCUUCAUCUGUUUAUAUACCAUACCUUCUUAUAGUGCUGGGAUUUCAGCUUGUGUUUUGUAUUCACAAUGUAUCUUAAAUGAGUCUGUCUUCAUCGGGAAUUGCGACUAAACAUGUUGAAGAAAGUUAUAUGAUUAUUGAAAUAAAAAUACAAAUAAAACUCUACCUUUGCUUUCAGAUGGGCACUGGCAGGUAGUAACUCUGUCAAGUCAAGGAGAGACAUUUCUAAACAGUGAUGUGGAGAAAAAUACCUUGUCCCAUGAUACCUUGUGCCUAAUGCUGUAUUUUAGUGGUUCUGUAAUUGUGCAUAGAGCUAUGCUGUAGAACAUGAAUACUGUACAUUAAAGAAAUGGCCGUUGCUAAUUCUGACAGUGGAUGAGCUUGAUUUUU